rnacentral:snoRNA from 1 species
CAGCAUUGUGCAUAGCCGUUGUUUUUCUUGUACCAUUGGGCCUACAAACAAUGCAAAAGAAACGUCCUUUUUCCACGAGAAACAUCCCUGCAGUGGGUUGUUCCUAUCGACAGGAGGGUACACAU